rnacentral:rRNA from 1 species
UGAGGAAUUUUGCGCAAUGGGCGAAAGCCUGACGCAGCAACGCCGCGUGAGGGAUGAAGGCCUUCGGGUUGUAAACCUCUUUUCUCGGGGAAGAUAAUGACGGUACCCGAGGAAUAAGUCACGGCAAACUACGUGCCAGCAGCCGCGGUAAUACGUAGGUGGCAAGCGUUGUCCGGAUUUACUGGGCGUAAAGCGCGCGUAGGCGGUUUCGCAAGUCUGUGGUGAAAUCUCUCGGCUUAACCGAGAGGGGUCUGCGGAUACUGCGGGACUUGAGUGGCGUAGACGAAGAUGGAAUUCCGGGUGUAGUGGUGAAAUGCGUAGAUAUCCGGAGGAACACCAGUGGCGAAGGCGGUCUUCGAGGCGCUAACUGACGCUGAGGCGCGAAAGCGUGGGGAGCGAACCGGAUUAGAUACCCGCGUAGUCC